CUUGCCACCCUGAACGUACCUAAUAGUGUCUGAUUUUGGAUGCUAAACAGGAUUGGACCUGGUUAGUAUUUAGAUGGAAGACCACCAAGAUAGGUCGAACUAAGC
rnacentral:rRNA from 1 species